rnacentral:rRNA from 1 species
GACGAACGCUGGCGGCGUGCUUGACACAUGCAAGUCGAACGGAAAGGCCUGCUUUCCCUUGUGGAUUGCGGGUACUCGAGUGGCGAACGGGUGAGUAACACGUGAGUUAUCUGCCCCCAACUUGGGUAUAAGCCUGGGAAACUGGGUCUAAUUCCCGAUAGGACUGCAGGGUGGUGCCUGUGGUGGAAAACGAUUUUCUAGUGGUUGGGGAUGAGCUCGCGGCCUAUCAGCUUGUUGGUGGGGUAAUGGCCUACCAAGGCGGCGACGGGUAGCCGGCCUGAGAGGGUGGACGGCCACAUUGGGACUGAGAUACGGCCCAGACUCCUACGGGAGGCAGCAGUGGGGAAUAUUGCACAAUGGGCGGAAGCCUGAUGCAGCGACGCCGCGUGGGGGAUGACGGCCUUCGGGUUGUAAACUCCUUUCGACCGCGAGGAAGCCACCUGGUUGGAAGGGUGGUGACGGUAGUGGUAGAAGAAGCACCGGCUAACUACGUG